CAGUCGCCACGGUAAUACGUAGGGUGCAAGCGUUAAUCGGAAUUACUGGGCGUAAAGCGUGCGCAGGCGGUUAUAUAAGACAGAUGUGAAAUCCCCGGGCUCAACCUGGGAACUGCAUUUGUGACUGUAUAGCUAGAGUACGGCAGAGGGGGAUGGAAUUCCGCGUGUAGCAGUGAAAUGCGUAGAUAUGCAGAGGAACACCGAUGGCGAAGGCAAUCCCCUGGGCCUGUACUGACGCUCAUGCACGAAAGCGUGGGGAGCAAACAGGAUUAGAGACCCCUGUAGUCCCUGUCUCUUAUAC
rnacentral:rRNA from 1 species